CGCGGCGAAUGGUGACGGUCUCGAUCACGGGCUGGUCACCGUGGCUCAGGCGAUCUUCGAGGGCGCGGACGAUCAUCACGUCCUCGCAGCGGCC
rnacentral:tRNA from 1 species